GUGUUGUCACAGGACUGGGCCAGGGUACCUGUGAAUGUGGCCUGCAUCCGGGAGGCAGGCUGGGCCCUGCCCCCGGGCGCAGGCCCGCGCACCGGUGCGGCGGCCGCCGGCGUGUGCCGCACGCCGCCCGGCCGCGCCGCUGGCCCGCGCCGCUGUCGCCGCUCCACGCGAGCCGCGAACAGAUAUAGCGCUUUUUAAAAUCUUAUCCAUAUCGGAAACGCUGAAUAAAAGCAGUAUUUUAAAAUAAUGUUGUUAUAUUGUUCCUACGUGUAAGUGUAACCAAUGUGUGCAAAACGAUAGACUAUAUAUAUCACUUUUUCGUUACAAUAAAAUUAAGUUGUGGGAGUUUAGUUUUUGCGAUAAUAAGUUAAGAUUUAAGUUAGGUUAAGCGACAACAUAGGGCGACCAUUGCAAGUCAUGUGUACCUACAGAGUGUUUUCUAUAUAAAGGAUAAAGAGCGUUGUGCCUUUCGAAGUUCCAGUUUGUUUAUAGAUAGUUUUUCAUUAGAUAUAUUAUAUUUUUGCAUUA